GGUUUCUGAGGGAAUUUAACAUUAGAUUAUGUCAAAAUUCCACUUUCAAUCAUCCUCUUAUUUUCUCCAGGCCCAUAUUCAAUACUCCUAUCAUAUACACCGUGUACUCUGCUAUCUCCACUGAGCGGAUUCCGCAGCACUUUUUUGUGUUUUGGCAGCCGGAAGUGACGCGCUUUCUGCGCGCGUCGGCCCCGCCCCUCGAGCCCCCUCUUGGGAGGGGCGCACUGCUCUCCUGUGGUGACCGCCGGAGGUGGGCCGAAGGGCGAGAAGAUGGGGAAAUUGGCCGCAAACGUGGAGAAGGUGUGGAAGCCUUCGCGGAAGGAUGGGAAGGAACCAUGUCUCUUGCGGGAGCCCAAGCUGAGCCCACAUCCUGAGAAACCAGAAAUGAAGAUGCAGAUGGAAGAGAGAAAGUCGGCACAAGUGGAUGAGAAUUCCUCAGAGUGGAUGAGGUCGUGGCGAAGCAGGUGGAAUGGGAAAAGGUUAGCAGGAAGCUGCAACACCUCUCUGAAGUUGGUAAUGACUGUGACCUCUCAGAAUAUCAUCACUUCCUGGGCUCAAGGUUGGCUGAAAGCCACUCGCAUUGCUCAAGUCUGAGGUUGAAGGUGACCUCACCAGUGUUCCCUGACUGUGUUUCCGUCAGCUGCAGAAAUGAAGAGGAAGGUGAGUCCUUUGCCCAUGCAGCCUGCCGAGAAACAUGGCUGUGACUCCGGAAAGAAAGAAAACAGAUCCCAGUUCCUUGGAUGUACAUCUACUGCUAACGAGGUCACCAUGGCAGUACCACUCAGCCCCAGUCCCGGGGCUGCAGUGAAUGUUGUGGAGUUCAAGGAGUAUAAGUGCUCUUGGGUGGGAGAGAAUAAACUGCAACUUGAAGACCGCAGAUCAAGUUCUGUUAGACCUGAAGCAGCUGUUGGCUCCCUAGACACCAAAGUGCAGAAAUGUGGAGGUGUAAAGUACAAAGAUGAUGUGGAGUCUCUGCUUGGGGAGAAGCCGCAGCCCAAAGAGCAGCAGCUGUCUGCGGAGCUUCCCCUGACCGAGCAGCUCAGGGUGUCCACGUUGCUCAUUCGAGAGCAGAAAUGGGAGCUCUCUGAGUUAACCAAGAAGCUGAAAGAAGGGAGAGCAGUGUCAUUGCUGCUGAAGGAGUCUCUGGAGGUCCACCUCAGUCGAGGUCACCCUGACACUGAGCACAGCUGGCAACAGGGACUGGCUGCAGGGUGCAGGCUGGCAGAGCAGCUCGUCCACAUGCUCAAGCCAGAGAUUCCAGAACAGGAGGAGGAUGGAAAAGAACAGCUGUUGCUGGGCCCCAGUGUGAGUGCAGAGGGCCUGCAGCGGGAGGAGGAAGAAGACCAUUUGACUCCCUCUGGCGGGUCUGAGCCUGGUGAGACCCAGCAGCCUCCCUGCACCACUGCUGCCCUGGUAGAUGAGGUAGAGACCCCUUCUCCAGGUGCCUCCGGUGAGUCCCGCAUUAUGAAGGAAACCACACUCACCUCACCCAUUUCUGGUGGCCCCAGUGCAAACUCAGGGCAGCAGACACAGAGGGGACAGGCUGGCACGGACGUAACAGACUCACAGCAGCAAGGUUACCGCUCCUGGCGGGCUUUGUUCAUCUGCACAGGUUCGCUUUGUCCAGCUGGAGCAGCUGAUGUCUCCCACAGUGCUCUGGUAAUUGUGGCUCCUGAAUGCUGUGCUUUGGCCUUCAGUUACGUACAAAUACAUCGCUCCACUUGAGUUGUUCGCGGGAGAUGUUGUUAUGGUUCCUGGACGCCCAGCCACCGUCUCUGUCUCUUCUAGCUGUCCUCUGCAUGAAAGGUGUCAGUUCCCUGCCAGGGUGUAGACAACCAUGACUGCGCCUGACCGUAUUCCGGGGGGUGCCGCUGAGCCUUGCCACUCUCGCCUCCUUGGAUGCAAGCGUCGUCUUCUCUCAGCAGCCCCUGGGAUCUCUCCCCGCGGCUCUGUCUGUCCAUCAACACAGGCUCAGCCAACAGUCUCCACAGUCCCUGUGCAACCCUGAGGCUCAGGCCUAGGACCUGCAACCCCUGCCACUAUGCAAGGAACCCGUGUCCCGGGGAGCACCAGGGACCUUUCUUUGAAGAGUUUGUAUAUUUCACAUCAGUCUCAUCCCAGGGUCUCCACUCAACUGUACAUGGAGAGUUCCUGACGAGCCUUGUGGCUCCAGGAUCACCAGAGGCAGUUAGGCAGGUCCUAGGAUGUCUGUGGGAAGAGGCUAGCUGAGCUGUGUCCCAGCAUUCAGGGCAGGAGCCUGACUUGCUGACCUGUAGCUGUCUGUCCCAUGGCUCAGGAAACAAGCCCCAUUACUUCUCGCAGAAAACGUCCUAUGCCUCCUGCAGUGUUGCUCUCAGACUGUUCGUUUGCUUAGAGAAUAAUGACAGCCGUGGGCUUGCAAGGUGUGAGCAGGGAUGGUAUGAUGUGACCAUCCCCGUCUGACUUUAUUUACAGAAAAUCAAAAUCACCCUGAGGACGAGGACACCCUGGAGCCAGAAUCGCCCAGGUAACUGAGCAUGGAGGACCAGUGAUGGUAACCAAGGUGUCAUGGAGAUUUCCUGUAUAGAUCCCAGGGAAAUCAGAUCUCCUGAGCACACUUACUUCACCCAGUCAGGCAGCCACCGAGUCUGUGUUUAAACCAUGCUGCUAACCUUGUUUCCUUUUCUUGUAUGGACUAUUGCUUUUACUAGUUUCUUGGUAAUCCAAAUAGAAUCCAGGAGAGCUAUCAUGACCGUGGGUUUCAGUAUUCAUGCACACGUGGCCACUUGUUCCCUCGAGGAUUAAACUCAGAGAGGGAUGCAGAACUGACCUCUGCAUACGAGGCCUUGGCUCAUUGUCAGGUUUAUCACAGGCAGGAAACUAUGGAGCUAAGGAAACAGGGCAGACAUGAGGUGUAGGUGUAGAUGUGCUCAGGAAUCCACACUAUGCCAGAUCAUUUAUGCGCUGGUCUCAAACAGGCGUGAGCUUUCCAUUGGAAGGGCCCCCUCAGAUGUGCUCAGAGGAGUCCCGGGCACAGUCCUGUGCCUGAACAGUCAGCCCAUUUACACUCUGCUGGUUUCCCUGCUUCUUGUCAUUCUUGACCAUGCCUGAAAGCUGAGUGCUAAUUGCAAAUUUUGCCAUCUCUUCUCUGCUGGGCAUUUCAGGGUUAUAAUUGAAGAUCUGGCCUUGGAUUUGAAGCCUAUAGAGCAGUUUCAGAGAUGGAGGGACAUAAUCUUCUACCUGCGACUGAGUCUGAAGGACAUGCUGACCCCAGAUGGACCUGUGAGCCACCAGGAACAACAUGCAGAGAGGCGCAGGCUGGCCAAGAGCCCUCGCCCUCCAGCUCAGCCCAGGUGAAGUGGCUGCGGGCCCUGGUCAACACUGGGCUUCUCCAAGGCACCCAGCUGUGGGAGACCCCGGCAGACAGGCCAUCUCUACAUCACUUCCCUUACUGUCUACGUUUUCCUGGGAGUCUCGGCUCAUCAGGAUGCCGCCCUGGAGGAACACUUGGGGGGAGGAACACAUGGGGUGGAGGCCACACAAUUCCCCCUCACUGUUCUCCCCGAUAGAAUGGGGCUCCUGACACCAGCAGCCUUCCUCGCCAUCCUCACAGGGAGGGGAGAUGGGGCGGGGGGUUAGGUUCCUCACAGUCUGGGCUGAGGGCAGUUUUCUCUCAGGUGUCCUCACGCUGACUUUAUUGUGGCUGAGGGGUUCCAGAUCCUUGCAUGAUUUCCGUUUGCUCAUGUGUCUACAAGGCGCUCAGGGUUGUUACACUGGAGUUGUAGCAUUCGCGUAGGGAAUCUCUGUGAGUGUCCUUUCAGAGGGCUGUUGUCACCCUGAAAAGUUUCACUAAGGAUUGGAUGUCACAGAACGUGGUCUGGGACAUUGGGUAACAUUGGGAGAAUGGCCACUACAUACGUGGUAAGAGGAUGAUGGAGGGUGCGAGGAAGUUACCAGGGUGUGGGCAUUGUAGGGCAGGCUUGUAUCUCCUUUCCUUAGUGAAAGGAGGCAGAGGGAUGUGAGAGCCAUGGUGAGCUAGAGAUCCAUUUACCCUGCGCUCCAGCUGUGUGACAGGAGCAAGGAGUAUCCAGUGCUCGGCUGACCAAGAUCCAAGUGAACUUGGCCCAGGAAAACUCAUAGCUCAUCAGGAUAAUCAUCCCCAGAUGGGGACGUUGUGCAUGGAGGAGCAGCCUGCACCCCAGACUGUUUCUGCUGAGGUGACACAGGUCAUUCAGUGCAGUUCCCCAUGUCCCUCCAAAAACCCUGCGUGCUCAUUCGUGUCCUCGCGCUCAGGUGGGUGGGGUGGGCAUGGGGGAAGUGGCACCAUGGAGUGACUGUCUGCACCUUUCUGAAUUUGCUUGCAGAGCAGCACUGCAAUGGGGAUGAUGAGGAAGAAACAGAGUCCCCAGACUCCAGGUAACCGAGCGUGGUCAGGGCUGUAAGCCAGUGUGACAGGAGAAGGGUUGUGUGAAAGCCAAGACCCGGGGUUGGGAGUGGCCACAGAUUUCAGUCAGGGUGAGAAAAGCCUGGCGAUGGCCAUGGUGUCAUUCACCCAGCCAAAGGCACCAUGGCCUUCACCAAGGCCCUGUGUGUCCUCUGGGGAUUCAGAGAGGGCAUCUGUGCAGGGAGAACUAAGCAGUUUGGGGCCGUUAUUGUCCUUAAAGAAGCCUGAGAGAGGUUAAAGUGAGGAUACCAUGCACAUCGGCUCUGAACUGUUGCUCUGAGUGCAUGGAGAGCUGAGACACAGCGAGGAAAGUUGUGGAUCCCCCGAUAGAAAGGUAUUUCUUGUCUCAACAUUGCUAAGAAAAGGCUCGGAAGGCCCAGGUUCUCCUGCAGUCUCCACCACUGGAGCCUGUAUUCACAGGACCCUGUUCACACACAAGGUUGGGCCCUGCUGUGGUUCCCACUGUGUGCUCCCUGUCCUGACUGCACCUCAGAGGGAAGCUGGCUCUCUCCCCUCAUCAGCUGCUCAUCUGGACAGUGCCCUGAGCAGAGGCGCCUCUCUCUUCUCUGCAUCCUUUUCUCUGUCUGUGUCUGUCUCUCUCUCUCUCUCUCUCUCUCUCUCUCUCUCUCUCUCCCUGUCUAUUUAUCUCACAUUCUUACAGUAGGUGAGCAAUGCCUGAGUCAGAGGGGACCAGUUUCCUUCUGUCUUUUAAUUUAAUUUUUUGUACGGGGAAUUGAACUCGGGUCCUUGUGCUUGUGCAGCAGGCAGUGAAACCACUGAGCUAAAUCCCUGGCCCCUUUUUUUUUUCUUCCUUUUUUCUUUUCCUUUUUAAAAAAAUUUUAUUUAAAAAACCUUCAGUGCAAUAUUAAAAAGCAAUACAAGCGGGAGCAUUAAAAAGCAAUACAGUCAGCGGGAGCAACGACUGAGAGAAAGGGGAGGGCAGACAAGACCCAGGACCCCACCCAGCUGUUCCCCAAGCCUCCUGUGGCUGGAGGCCAGGGGCAGCAGGCUGGGAAGGGGGCAUGGGUGGUGGGGGAGGGAGGAGACCACCCACCAAAAUGAACGAGCAGAACAAAACAUUUAUAUAGGAAUCAUCUGGCUGAAAAUGAUUUUGGGGAAGCCAAAAUUUGUUUUUUUUCUUUCCUAAAAACGUCCUUGGAUUGGGAGGGGGUCGGCCUCCUGGAGUCCCACACUGUACUCCACUGUUGGGGAGCAGAUAUGCAGGGGCCAGGUGUGUGUGAGAGACAAAGGGAGAUGAAUGGAGAGGCGCCCCUCGCCGGACUCUGUCACCAGGGCCCCAGGUGCCCUAGGCAGCUCCUGGACUCUCCUGGGCUUGGGUGAGAUGGGAGUCAGAAUGGACCUCGGGAGGGCAUUGCCCGGCACUCAGCCUAGAAAACCAUCAGGGUCCUCAUCUUCAAAAUGGCCUUGCUGAAGCACCUUGAUGUGGUGCUCGUAGAUUUUGAGGGCUGGGCCCAGGCGGAUGGGAAGGCCAGUUAGCAAUCUGUGCGCUGCAUGAGCAGCAAGGAUUUGCCGUCGAUCUCCUGCUCCUGGAAGGCAGUGGCCUGCUCAGGGAAGCAGGCCUCAGUGAAGUACUCUACCACGCCCAUCACUGUCCGCUCCACCGGGUCUGCUGGCUUCUCCUUGCGCCCGGGAGUACAGCCAAAAGGGGUCCCAUCGGCCCCAGGGAGGGCUGGCUUUCCUGGGGGCAAAGGCACAGGGGACAGGGAAUCUGGCCCAGUGGCAACAGAGGCCGAUCCUCCUUCCUUAUUCAUGGCUGCCAUGGAGAACACCUGGGGGGUACCACUCCCCGGUGCCGGUACCCGCCCUUCGUCCUGCCCCGGGAGGGGUCCACAGGGUGUCCACUCCUUGACCCUCUCCUUAGCGCUCGGAGGGGCACGUUCACCAUUAAGCUGGAGGUGCUGGGCACCUGCAGGACGGUCACUCUCGGGCACUUCUGAGCUCUCAGACACAUCAUCUUCGUCAUCUUCAUCUUCUUCAUCUUCCUCUUCUUUCUCAAGCAGUCACUCUUCUCUUCUCGCUCCGCGACGCGCGGGUGCAGGCAGCCAGCAGGGCCCUUCCAGGCCUGUCCCUGCGGGGUGGCGCGAGCGCUCCAAGGUGAGUGCGCUCCAGGCGGCCCCGCGCCACUGCCUCCUCCUCCAACAGCCUUUGCACGCGGCCACGAGUCAGGCGCCCGCUUGUGCUGCCCCCGACGUAGCACAUGACUUCCCGCAGGCUCACGGGCCGCCCCG
rnacentral:lncRNA from 1 species